CCUACGGGUGACAGCAGUGGGGAAUAUUGCACAAUGGGGGAAACCCUGAUGCAGCGACGCCGCGUGAGUGAAGAAGUAUUUCGGUAUGUAAAGCUCUAUCAGCAGGGAAGAAAUAGCGACCUUUGGGUCGCCAGACGGUACCUGACUAAGAAGCCCCGGCUAACUACGUGCCAGAAGCCGCGGUAAUACGUAGGGGGCAAGCGUUAUCCGGACUGAAGGGGUGGAAAGGGAGCGUAGACGGCAGCACAAGUCUGAAGUGAAAUGCCGGGGCUUAACCCCGGAACUGCUUUGGAAACUGUGCAGCUAGAGUGCAGGAGAGGUAAGUGGAAUUCCUAGUGUAGCGGUGAAAUGCGUAGAUAUUAGGAGGAACACCAGUGGCGAAGGCGGCUUACUGGACUGUAACUGACGUUGAGGCUCGAAAGCGUGGGGAGCAAACAGGAUUAGAUACCCCAGUAGUC
rnacentral:rRNA from 1 species